AAUUUAAAGUCUGCUCUGCUCAAUGAAUAAGUUUAAAUAGCCGCAGUAUUAUGACUGUGCAAAGGUAGCAUAAUCAUUAGUUUUUUAAUUGAAGACUGGAAUGAAAGAGUUAAUGAAAUUUUAACUGUCUCAAGUUUAAUAAUAAAAAUUUAUUUUAAGUAAAAAAUCUUAAAUAAUUAUAAGGGACGAGAAGACCCUAUAGAAUUUUAUAUUUUAUUUAAUUAAAUUAUUUAAAUAUUUAAUGUUUAGUUUAAUUGAAUAAAUUAUUUUAUUGGGAGGAUGAUUAAAUUUAAUAAACUUUAAUUUAAUAUAAACAUAAAUUAAUGAAUUAUUUAUGAAUUAAAUUUAAUUAAUAUAAGAAAAAUUACCUUAGGGAUAACAGCGUAAUAUUUUUGGAGAGUUCAUAUUAAUAAAAAUGUUUGCGACCUCGAUGUUGAAUUAAAAUAAAAUUUAAAUGAAGAAGUUUAAUAUUUAAGUCUGUUCGACUUUU
rnacentral:rRNA from 1 species